rnacentral:sRNA from 1 species
CCUUACAGGACACUCAUUAUAUUCUGGAGCAUUUAAUUUACAACUGGUAUAAGUGACUUCAUCACUUUAUUUGGGUCAGCAAAUGCGUCUGGCAAUUACAACGCUAAAUUCUAUAAUUAAAUUAUCUUUUGGACUCUUAAUAUACAUUCUUUACUCCGAGGAUCAUUGAUAAUUCAUUUCUUUUUAUCUUUUUUUCACCAGCUGUAUACAUUCUCCCCCUUAUGUUGGAAUAGCUGACUAUAUAAUAUGAUAGUGUUCAAAACGAGCGGUAUAUAAAUCCUUCUAGGAUGGCUUAGUUAUCAUUCAUAUCCAACAUGUAUACUUAUUCUCCUUUGAGGGUUCAUCUCAGCGUGCUGUGGUGGAGCACUUUUCACAUUCAAAGAUUUUAGAUGGAAACUAUUUGGUUUCUGACCCAAAACCAAUAAUGAUGGGGAAAACUAUUAAUUAUUCAUUGGCUUGAUGCGUAUCGAUAUUACUAAACCAUUUUGUGUAUGAACUUGAAUUUCAAAAUGUUAAACACUUAUCCCAACGGAUAUCCAAAAAUGGUUAUUAUAAAUAAACACUGAAAUACUCUUGUACUUUAAUCAAGAAAGUAAUCUCGCAAACUCUAUGUUGCGGGUUUAUAACAAGGAUAAAUAUGACCUUCUUGUCGAUGCAACAAUCGAGUCAAUGCGUCCCAUUGAAUCGAUGCAUCUUUUAUAGCCAUUAGGUAUCUAAAUAUCAUACAGUGGGUGAUCAAUCCAUAAUCAUCUCCUUGUAUAUACUUACGAAUAGAUAAAGUCCAAAUUAUUUUGACUCGUAAAAAAUCACAUUAUCAUAUUGCUUUCGGAGCAAGUAACAAUUGAUAAAUCAUUAGGGAGAAUCUUCUGGUUUUUCACCUAAUGUCCACAUAAUUCUCAAUACUUUCACAUCAUCAUUAAACCAGGAUGACCAAUCCGGUUAAGCCAAAUAUACUCUUGAAACUUUUAAUUCUUUUGAAACUUCUAGUUCUUUCAAAACUUCUAAUUUACUUUUCAUUGCUUAUCAGUUACUCCCUUAAUGAGAUCUUAUAAUCAAAAUUACUUCCAUAUAU